AGGCGAUAAUACACAUUGUGUAUAGUUUUUUGAGUGCUUUGGAGUCUACCCCUGGAGGAAGAAGCAGCUGCUUUUACCUGCUAUCUAGUUUUAAAAAUGGUUUGGCCAUCUUCUAAAGAGUUUGAACCUACUGAAGAACUAUCUUGACUAUCUUGAUGGGGGAGUUGUAGAAAUCCUUCACUGGAGUCUGAGCGGAUUCAUUUUCAUUUUCUAAAGAAGACUGUUGGAUUAGGAGCUGUGCAUUCUGGUUCAUAAGUGAGCAUAAUUGAAGUAUGGUUGCAUAUCCCCGAAAUAUUACAUUACAACCUGAAGCUUGGCAUUCUGUGUUUGAAGAGUGGUGUUC